rnacentral:rRNA from 1 species
AACGAACGCUGGCGGCAGGCCUAACACAUGCAAGUCGAGCGAAGCCUUCGGGCUUAGCGGCGGACGGGUGAGUAACGCGUGGGAACGUGCCCUUUGGUACGGAAUAGCCCCGGGAAACUGGGAGUAAUACCGUAUGUGCCCUUCGGGGGAAAGAUUUAUCGCCAAAGGAUCGGCCCGCGUUGGAUCAGGUAGUUGGUGGGGCAAUGGCCUACCAAGCCGACGAUCCAUAGCUGGUUUGAGAGGAUGAUCAGCCACACGAGGACUGAGACACGGCCCAGACUCCGGGGGGAAGCAGUGGAGAAUCUCAGACAAUGGGGGAAACCCUGAUCGAGCCAUGCGGCGUGAUCGAUGAAGGCCUUAGGGUUGUAAAGAGCGUUCAGUGGGGAAGAUAAUGACUGUCCCCACAGAAGAAGCCCCGGCUAACUCCGUGCCAGCCGCCGCGGUAACAC